rnacentral:rRNA from 2 species
CUAGCUUCAGCGAUGGAUCGGUCGAUUCGCGUAUCGAUGAAAAACGCAGCUAGCUGCGUUAUUUACCACGAAUUGCAGACGCUUAGAGUGGUGAA